rnacentral:rRNA from 1 species
CAUAAUAACUUACGAAUCGCAUGCCUUUUGCGGGGAUGGUUCAUUCAAAUUUCUGCCCUAUCAACUUUCGAUGGUAGAAUAGUGGUCUACCAUGGUUUCAACGGGUACGGGAAAUUAGGGUUCUAUUCCUGGAGAGGGAGCCUGAGAAACGGUUACCACAUCCAAGGAAGGCAGCAGGCGCGCAAAUUACCCAAUCCCGACACGGGGAGGUAGUGACAAUAAAUACUGAUACAGGGCUCUUUUGGGUCUUGUAAUUGGAAUGAGUACAAUUUAAAUCCCUUAACGAGGAACAAUUGGAGGGCAAGUCUGGUGCCAGCAGCCCGGGUAUUCCAGCUCCAAUAGCGUAUAUUAAGGUUGUUGCAGUUAAAAAGCUCGUAGUUGAACCUUGGGCCUGGUUGGCCGGUUCCGCCUC